rnacentral:rRNA from 1 species
UGGGGAAUAUUGCACAAUGGGCGCAAGCCUGAUGCAGCCAUGCCGCGUGUGUGAAGAAGGCCUUCGGGUUGUAAAGCACUUUCAGCGAGGAGGAAGGUGGUGAACUUAAUACGUUCAUCAAUUGACGUUACUCGCAGAAGAAGCACCGGCUAACUCCGUGCCAGCAGCCGCGGUAAUACGGAGGGUGCAAGCGUUAAUCGGAAUUACUGGGCGUAAAGCGCACGCAGGCGGUUUGUUAAGUCAGAUGUGAAAUCCCCGGGCUCAACCUGGGAACUGCAUUUGAAACUGGCAAGCUAGAGUCUCGUAGAGGGGGGUAGAAUUCCAGGUGUAGCGGUGAAAUGCGUAGAGAUCUGGAGGAAUACCGGUGGCGAAGGCGGCCCCCCUGGACGAAGACUGACGCUCAGGUGCGAAAGCGUGGGGCAGCAAACAGGAUUAGAUACCCUGGUAGUCCACGCUGUAAACGAUGUCGAUUUGGAGGUUGUGCCCUUGAGGCGUGGCUUCCGGAGCUAACGCGUUAAAUCGACCGCCUGGGGGAG